ACUUCCGUCACCACUGUCAAAAGGCUCAUUGUGAAAGAUUCCCUGGCCUUGGCUGUCAGCAAAGGUUUUCCACAUCUCGAGGAAGCAGACUGAUCAGGAGUAAAAGGAAUGAGCAUUAAGACUAUGAUAUGGUAGGAGGACUGAAUUCCUGAGAAGUGUUUGUACCAGAGGAUAAGACAGUGAGGCACUGAAUCUGGAGUUAAGCCAAUCACCUGCAGAUUUUACUCUUUAUACCACUGACCAAAGAAAUAUAUGUGUAUCCUCCAACCUGCAGAGAAGCUGUGCUGUGCUGAAUAUAUAACAUCAUACAGAGUGCGCUACAGGUUCAGUGUCACCAAUGACGUUAACAGCACUCUAGAGUCUGUAAGAUUUAGAGCAUCUUCUCAACUCCUUAACCGACUACCAGCUAGUGGCUCAGGCCACAGGGCGAUAAAGAAAAAAUCACUUUGGUGUGAUCCUUGAAAGGUAUUUUAAGUGCCUACAGAAAAAUGAAUUAUAUCCCAAGCAUUUUUGCAUCCACAACAGAUGGAAUAAAGCCUGAUCAAAAGUAGAUCCCCAAGAAACAAUUUUACCAACAAAAUGGGUAAAAUACAGAAACUUGCCAUUAAAAAUUAAC